GACGAACGCUGGCGGCGUGCUUAACACAUGCAAGUCGAACGGAAAGGCCCUGCUUUUGUGGGGUGCUCGAGUGGCGAACGGGUGAGUAACACGUGAGUAACCUGCCCUUGACUUUGGGAUAACUUCAGGAAACUGGGGCUAAUACCGGAUAGGAGCUCCUGCUGCAUGGUGGGGGUUGGAAAGUUUCGGCGGUUGGGGAUGGACUCGCGGCUUAUCAGCUUGUUGGUGGGGUAGUGGCUUACCAAGGCUUUGACGGGUAGCCGGCCUGAGAGGGUGACCGGCCACAUUGGGAAUGAGAUACGGCCCAGACUCCUACGGGAGGCAGCAGUGGGGAAUAUUGCACAAUGGGCGGAAGCCUGAUGCAGCCACGCCGCGUGCGGGAUGACGGCCUUCGGGUUGUAAACCGCUUUCGCCUGUGACGAAGCGUGAGUGACGGUAAUGGGUAAAGAAGCACCGGCUAACUACGUG
rnacentral:rRNA from 1 species